AUCAUCUUUUUCCCUCAGUUAAGAGUUUGGAUAUUUUCCUGAGUACCGGGAAGCCGUCGGGAGGGAUUGAUGUAACUAUUAGAUGUAUUUUUUGUUUGUUUGUUUGUUUGUUUUGUUGAAUCACCCUGGCUGCUCUGUGGAGAAAGGAUGCUGGGGCAGCAGGAACGGAUGCGGGCAGGCCGGGGAGGCUGGCCAGUCAUCCAGGAGAGAGAGAGUGGCUUGGACCAGGCUAGUAACCAUGGAUGUGGUGAGAAGUGGGUGGAUCCAAGGGGGGGAGGUGGAGGAGAGUCUCCAGGACCAGCAGGCAGACUGGAUGGGAAGGCAAGAGGAAGUGUCACUUGUGGCCUUCUGCUCUGUGGGCAUGUGUUUUCUGAGCUCCUAUGAUGCGCUCGGCACGUGCCGGAGAGACAACAAAGGGGCUGGGAGAUCAGACCAGUGGGACUCUGACCACAUCAUCUCUAGGCUGGACCAAACAACUGAAGGCAUGAAAGGAUUUCGAGACAUCAUUUGGUCCACCUUCGUGCCUCCAGACCAGAUACAGGUUCUCCCGUCUUCAAAGGACGGUGCACGGAGGGAUUGGAGACCUCCCUGCAGGUGUCCGUGGAGCUGGAGGGGUGGGGGUCAGUACCCUGCAUCCUGGUUAGAGGCUUUAACCUUUCCAGAGCCUGGUCAGAGCUGUAGUCUGUUUGAUGGUCUUAAUAUCCCCAAAGUGUUGGCAGGGAUGUUUUCUCCCCCGUCACGCACUCGAGGAAACUGAGUCUUGGAGAAGCGUCAUUGUCUCAGCCACAAAGAGCUGUGCAGGUAAGGCUGCACUUUUCUCCUCAUGCCUAUGUUUGUGCAGAUGCGGGAGCCCGAGGUGCGCGCCUGGGGCGUGCAGAUGUGAGAACCAGAGGUGCUUCUAGAUGCUUAGUGCUGGCCUCCACCCUUGCAGCCCAGUCCAGGAAUGUGUCUGGCUGCAGACAAUUGGCGUCACAGCUGCAGACCAGAGGCUUCCAGGGCUGGGAGUAACCGAGAAGUCCUCCCACCCAUCCUCUUGCCUUCAGGGGGGACGAUCCCCCUCCUCCAAAGACCAACCUCGCCAAGAGGAAUGAUAUCUUUUCCUCAAAGAGUGCCUCUUCUCUCCCUCAGGCUUUCAUUCCUGUGGGGAGCAGCUUCCAGCCAAAGACCUCUUCCCAAGGACUGCAGACAUCUUUACUUCUGCUUGCCCAGCGUGUACACCCUUUGGGAGCCUCUUCUCCCCAACUUCCAGGUCACUGCUUUGGGCAGGCUCACCGCAGAGUGGACCUGCGGCAUAGGCCUGGCCAGUGAGAGGGUCACAGUGCCCUCAUCUCAGGGCUGUUUAGGGACGGGCACGAGACAGAAACAAGGCCAAUCAGAUUUGACUCUGGGAGUUUUGCUGUAGCCGGUAGCCGUGGGGGGUAAAGUGCUCUCUUUCAGUUGAGAUUGCUGUUGGGGUAGAAGCCCAAAGCUGCCAAGGUUUAGGAGAGUCUGCUGGGGAUGAAUGCAAGCCAAGGGCAUCCAGUGGUGAACUGGAGAGAGCUGGAGGGAGCUGGAGGGAGCGGAGCGACGGCCCCUGACCACCGCAGCUGAGUACCUGGAUCCAGCCAUGUCUAGAGCUAGAGACCCAAGGACAUUUUUGUUAUGCGAGCUGAUGAAUCCCUCUUCCCACUUCAUAAGCCAGUCAGAGUUGGGUUUCUGUCAUUUGCAGUGAAAGUGCACCAAGCCCACCUCAGCCCACCCCUCUCCUGCAGAAACUUUGCCCUUUGGCCGGCCCACAGGGGCCUGCGGGGGCCCGGGUAUGCCCUUAGCAGGAGACUCUUUCGUCCCCAGAGUCUGCUGGCCAAUCAUUGCUCAGCAUCUGUGUCUCCACUUGAACCCACCCCGUUCCUCUCGCUGUCUUCUCCUUGGCUUUAUGGUAUUCAGAGUUCUUUCCAUCGCAAGUUAGAGAAGGCUGCAUCUCUUAGUGGAAAAGGGGACUUGAGGGUCUGGGAAGGCGCCUGGCUGUGGGAAGCCUGGGGGGCUAGAACCAGGGUGCAGCGCCACAGGGGUCUCUGUCCAUCACUCCUCUCUGCUCUUGUCUGCUUCCCUUUGAGGUUGGUCUCCUUCUGUCCCUCUAGGGGGUAAGGAGCUCGGUCAGAAGCUUCUUGUCAGCCCCAAGGAAGGACUUGGACUGGGUUCGUUUGGGUCAUGUGCCCACUCUUGGACCAGGGAAAUGGGGUAUGCUCAUUGACCAGGUCUGGGUCACGUGAGUAGGGUGUUGAGGCGUAGUGAUUGGUGGAGUCCUAUUGGGAAGGAGGGGCGUGUCCCAAAGAGAUGGGGUGGCUGAUACUGGACAAAGGAUGGGAUGUGGGGGCUGCUGGACCACCUCAGCUGCCACCGCCAUCACCAGCAUCGCCAACUACCAGCAUUUACCGAACUCCUAGUGUGGGCCAGAUUCUAGGAGGAGUCCAUUCAUUCAUUCACUCAUUGGUUUAUUCAUCGUGUACCAACUCAUACCAGGCCCUGAGCUCGAGAUACAAUGAGACAAGUGCCUCUUGUCACCCUCAUAGAUGGGGACUCAACUCCUAGUUCAGCCUAGAGGGGAAGAACAUUAAAUAAGCCAUUACCUUUCCCUGGGAUAAGAGCAUCGAUAGGGGAGUAUACUCAGAGCAGGGCCAGCUAGUGUAGUUCCAGCAUGACAGUCAGGGAGGGCUUCCAGGAGGAAGUGACAGCUGAGGAGAGAAAGGAAGAAUAGGAGAGGAAGGGGAAGAAGAAUAAGAGGUUCCAGGAGAGGUGGUCCUGGUAGGAGUAGAGUGACUGCCCCGCGGACAUUGUGUGAUGUGGGGAGACAGGAUAUGAGCCCAUUUAUUCAUCUCUUCCUUCCUUCAUUCGGCUGGUGUCAACUGAGCUCCAGAGAUGCCUCCGUAAUAGGCUGAGCCAUGGGUUUUGGAAGUGAGACGGCCAUGGCCCUUUCCCCCAGGAACUCCUAUUCUACUUGGUGGGUGGGGGGGCAGAUGCAGGGGUGGGAGGUGGCAGGACAGGGGAGCAGCUUGAUUCCCCUGGAGGACAGUGAGGGCUCCGGGAGGAGGUGCCGUCCUCGUUGAGUCUUGGUGGGAUGAACUCAUGAGGGGAGUGAAACCACAGGUCCUCUGUUCUUAGAGCUGGUCCCUGUAUAUACUGUCUCCAUAACAACCAGUCUGUGUGUGUCCCAAACAGCAUCCUCUUGACGGCCGUUCGCCCCUGGAGAAGCUCCCCAAUGUUCUCGGGUCAGUUGGUCUUGUCCUCUCUGCUGUGCUCAUGCAGAGGUGUAGGAGGAAGCCAGUCAUGAACCUACUAGAAAGGCCAGUAAGUAGACCAAUGCGGAAAGGGAAGGUAGGAGAGGGGCCUUGGUCUGGAUCUGAGUUAGGGGAUGGGAUUCAGCUCCUAGUCUAGCAGCACACUCACCGUGGGACCUGGGGCAAGCCCUCAUCCUCUCCAGGCCUCGGUCGGGUCCACUUCCAUAGGAGGAGCACAUGGGCCCCAUAAGGUGCCGCUCCAGUCCUGACACGGUGGGGUUUCUGGGCCUCCAGCCCCCGUGGCAGGCAGCCCCUGUCUUCGUGGACCGGAGGGGAUGGUGGAGGUAAGGCUGCGUUGGGGCUCCUGGCUCUCGGCCACACCGCCUGCAGCCUUCAGGACCUGAGUCAUCUUCCGGGCAGCGAGUGACCUCUCCAUACCCCUGUCUCCCCCCAGCCCCGUGACCCUGGGCGGUGUGCAGGGCCAGGCCGUCCCAGGCGGGCGGCACGGUGGAAAUCACAAUAUUGACCCAGCACGCAGGAAGUGGGGAGGACAGGCCGCCAGGGUUCCGGGGCUGGAGGGGAGACAGCUUGCUGAGUGAUGAGCUCGGAGCAAUGCUCUCCCUCCCUCCUGGGUCACCGCUGCUGCCCGCCUGCCAGGGCUGUUCCUCCCAGCUCCAGGGCCCCCUCCCCGGACCUCCCUCCUACACAUUCCCCUGGCCCAGGCUCGGGAGGGGAGCUGCUGGGGAGCCCUCUCGGGGCCUGCCUCCCUCCAUACAAGGCACGGGCUCCCCUGGGCUUCCCCGUUUCCCUGGGGCCAGACUGCAGCCACAUGCUUACAGGCUGCUGGCCUUUGGAAUAGUCUCACCUCCCAUCUAAUGCCUGGGGAAAUGGAGGCUCACAAAGUUACUUGGCCAGCAGCGUCAGAAUCAGGAUUCACACUCAGGACUGUGGAGUCCAGGCCACACUCCGCCCAGCCACCCACGAGUCAGUUAGCUUUGGUCAUGACAGUGGGAAUAAUCAACUACUUUAGUGAAGCGCCACAUCUUACUCAGCCCCUGCCACCACGCCAGGAGGGGUUCAGUUACUAAGCUGACUUUUCAGAUGAGCAAGUACGGUUCAGAGGAGGCUGAAGGACUUUCCCAAAGACACAGCUAGCCAUCAGCAGAUGGGCGUUUGGACUGAGAUGUGCCUAAUCCCCAAGCUCAUGCUUUGUCUGUCCUGACAAAACCACGGGGCAGGAAGAGCCUGUCCUUGAAAUUCUGCUUAAAUGUUCCCAACACCCCCACCAAGCCUUAGGACCACCUUCUGGAUCCUUGUGCCCAUGAGUAUUUGCAUCUGCAAAGGGGUUCCUGGGGGGGUGGGGUGGGGAACAUAGCGCGGCCCAAAACCUUACCCUCCAAUGAUGCAAUUCUCCGUCAGUGUUCCUUGGGGGGCUUGGCCAUGGACUUGGAGGUGACCAUCCAGCCUGCUGAUGGGUCAAGCUGGACCAGGAAGCACCGCUGAGUGGUCAGCAACCUCUGGGGAGGCAGAGGGGGAGCAGAGAUACUCCUGGGCUUGGAGAUGGGUCCACAGGGGCCUCCUCCCUGCUCUGCAGAGGCUUGAUUCCCUCAUUCACAGGAAUGAUUGAGGGCAUUUGAAGGUCUGCUUUCCGAUAUCAGAGAGGAGUAGGAGUUUUGGCUCCUGUGACCCCAGCACCCUUCCCAUGAGCUGGGUGUGGAUGGGGACACGGCUUACAUGGGCUUUCCUUGCGCUCUGCUUGGACUGUAUGCCCUGGGCUCGCUCGAUGUGAAGUCACCAAUCAAAACCUGCCUGUGUGCUUAUUCUAGGCUGCCCCUGGGGAUGUUAUCUAAAUCACAGGAAAAAUUCACUCAGAAUUCAUUGUAGGCAAUUUGCAUGAAGUCUGAGAAACUGGUUUAAUUUUGUAGUAAUGGACACCGGGUGUGUGUGUGUGUGUCUGUGUGUGUGUGUGUGUGCACACGCACGUGCAUGCACAUGCAUGAACUAAAUCUGACACAGAACAGUGCAGGACUUCCUGACCCGGCUUACGUGCCCUGUCCCUUUCCUACUCGCUCCAAAUUAUAAUGACUACCAUUUAUUGAACAUCUACUGUGUAGCAGGUUAGAUACCACCUGGGCCAAUUUUUUCACCUUUGUACCAAGGUGGAACCCGACUUUCAGAACACGGAAAAUAUGCACCACGGAUUGCAUUGAUUAGUGAUGUCUGCUCUAGGCACGGGAAGGGAGGGGCUGGUGCACGUACCUCAUAUUUGCCUUCCCUCAUUAAUUCGGUGCAUAAAAUUGUAUGUGUCCAUAUUUUCUACCUAACCACGUGUAAUUUCAUAAUCUGCCCUUAAACCUUUGUGGAACAAGACUUUGUAUAAAUAAAUAGUCAUAAUUCAUUACAAAAAAAUUAUUAGGUGUGUUCAUACAGGUUAUAUGAUUAUAUCCUCCCCAUAUCCCAGUAGGAGAAAACAGGUGGGUCAUUACAGAGGCAGAAACUCACAUUCAAGGUGAGGACCUCUGCUAACCCCUAGAGUACCUUUAUGUGUGCUGGAAAAAUGUGCCCCUCUGGGUGAUUGUGGCUUGGUAUGCAGAGCACUACCAGAUUCACCCCAUCAUUCCAGGGGCCCUUAUUCAGUGCACAAGCUGAACAACUGUACACAGCAGCCCUGUUCCAUGUCUUGCCAAAUCCCACCUUUAUAUCUUCUACUCCAAAGCCAGGGCUCGUUUGACCUCACAGCUCACAGGUCCACAUUCUGGGUCUGGGACACCAAUUCAGGCCCCAGGACAGAUGGUAUUUUGUCUGAGGCUAAGUGGGGGGUAGAAGGAAGAGCAGCGUUAACAGUGCAGCCCGUGUUCAUGUCACAAACAAGCAAGAUCGCUGCUUGGCCUGGCCGUGCCUGCCAGGUUCCGGUGAGGAAUAGUCCCAGGGAGGCCCUCUCAGAGGACCUGCUGUCCCCCAAGGCCCCGUCCUUGGCCGCCACCCCAAGCUGGAAAAGCAGGCGUGAGGCCUCCUCCUUGGUGCCUUUAUCCUGCACGUUUUUUCCCCCGCUUGCUUUCCGCCCGGGGAUUACCACCGGGGUUGGGCUUCUGCACACUGCUGUCACCUGGGUCCCCACACGGGAUGCUUGAAAAACAUCUCUCUGAAAGCAGAGAAAGUGUGAGCCUUCGAGAAGGAGGGUGUGGAAGGAGAGCGGUCCUUGGAGGAGGGGAAAUUUACAGCAUUCAUUUGGCCAGUUCUUCGGACGCCGUGCAGCCUGCGUGGAAGGCCUUCCGGAGAUCUUCCCAUACCCCCAGAGUAGAAGCUCCGGAGGACGACUUGUGUCCCCUGGGAUCUAGAACACCGCCUGGGACACAGCAGGUGCACAGCAAACAUCCACCGGGUCAUGGCCACGCUGCUGCGUCCUCUGAAUCUCUGCAGCCGCCCUUCACAUUCACAGCCAGUGUGAUCCGUCCCAUUUUGGAGAUGGGGAAAUCGAGGCUCCAAGAAAUGAGGAGAAUUGGUGAACUUCUACACCCGAGCACAGGGGAGCUCCUGGCCGCGGGCUUAGCCAGCUGUGCUCGGGGCUGCUCGUUAUCACCCUCCUCGGUGUACGGAUGAGGAAACUGAGCUCCGGAGAGGUCGAGCCACCUGCCCAAAGUCACACAGCUGGACAGUGGUGACGCCAGCACAGGAUCCCAGUUACCCCGGCCCCAGGGCUCACCCACCAGCUGCUCUUCUGUGCCUGGGGCGGGGGGCGGACGCGGGCUUUAGAGCUGGAUUCCCAGCCCAGGUGCACUACGUCUACACUGUGUGGUCUCGGGCCAGCUGCUUGAUUUCUCUGAGCCUCGGCUUCCCCAGCUGCAAUACCCACCUUGCAAGGUUGCCGCAGCACCCGAUGAAGCAAGGGGCAGAGGGAAUGUGGCCGGUGCCCGGGGUGGACGGGCUGUGGUGGAUAAAUGAUGGUGGCAGAUGCGGUUCGCGUGCCCGGCUUGCAGCGAGCGUCCUAGAACUGCUAUUUCCCACUCCAGCCUCCCUUCUAGCAGCACGGGCUCAGUGACAUCCCCCCUCGCUCUCGAGCCCUUUCUCUGCACCCUGGGUGGUGCCCGAGCUCCUGGGGAAAAUGCACCUUCCCCCCUGGUGGGAUGGAUUGGGGGACACACAGUAGAAGUUUUUGUUGUCACUUUUACCUCCUUGGGAAUGAAGGCUUCGAACUGGGGGCCUGGGUGCUGUUCCUCCCCAGGAAACGGGCAGAAAGGGGGUAGUUGUGCCAACCUCCUAGCUCUGUGCCAGUCAGAUGUCAGUCUUGGGUUCCACCUCAAGCGUUCCUUGGUUGGACACCUUCUUUGGCAGGGCCAAGUUUAGAAUCGUGGGGACUUUCCGGUCCAACCAGGGUAACGUGGAUAGAAGAUCCCUUACUCUGUGCAGCACUCGACUGUUUAUACAGGCUUUUCACCUCCUCUAUCCUGUGUGAGCAGUACAUCCCAUUUCACAGAGGAGGAGACUGAGGCCCAGAGAGGAGUAGGCUGCUGGCCUGGGACAGGGCCAAAGCCCAAGCUGGGAGCCAGGUCUGGGGCUUUCUCUGGGGCUUGGGUCUGACCGGGGUGGGGGUGCGGGGGGGCUCCCAGGGACCACUCCCCCCCAUCAUCCUCCUUCCCAUCAGAGAGGCCCAAACCCUGGGCCAGGCUGGGAAUGUUCUGGGGGGAGGCCCUCUGGAGUCAAGGCCGUGUGUAAGUGUUUUAUUGUUUGCCCGAAGAGGUGUGAAUGAAGUAAUGGGCCUUCUCCGGCACUCUAUCCGUCUAGGGCUGACAGGCGCGCUCCGAGCCCCGGGCUGCUCUGCGUAAACGCUGUCACCCUGCCAUCCCCAAGCAGGCAGCUUCCUCGGGGAAACUGUAAUCAAGGCCUCCCGCACCCGCAGCUGGCCCUGUCCGCAGCUCGUAAAUCACGGCUGCCUUCCCGGAAAGCAGGGGGAGAGACAGGCAGGGCGACAGGGAGACAGACGAGGCCCGGCGAGGAAGAGACGGGGACAGGCCGGCGGGGAGAGGAGGAGGCAGCCAGGGCAGGCCCGGCCCAGGGACAGACAGACAGACAGACACACAGACCGGGGAGAAAGCCAGAAAGAAAGAACCAAAGGGAGACAGAGAGGCCGAGGGAGGCGCCGAUGGAGGUGUGGGGUGGGGGGGCAAGAAGAUACAGGGGAGGGGCGCACAGAGAGAGGGUGGGCAGACAGACUGGAAGGAAGCGAGGAACGGGGAGAGAGGAGAGUAAAAAAGAUGAAAGAUAGUUGGGGGAGCAGUGGAGGGACAAAGCGUGAAGGCAGGGAGGGCGAGAGGGGCACACGGGGCAGGGGCCUCAGCUGGGCACCAGGGCCGGGCACUGGGCAGCUGGGCCAGACCACUGAUGGCGGGGCUGCCUCCAUCCAGCCUCACAGGGUCCCCAGCGUCCCCGGGCCACUCAGACCCUUCUCCGUCCACACUGGCCUGGUGACUUCGCAGGCAGCCAGACGGAGGGCUGAGGCAGGUGGGAGAGGAGGGGAGGGCGGAGGCUGCAGCCACCCAGCACCCCCACAUCCAGGGCCUGUGUCAGACCCACUCUCACCCUGGGAUGGCACAGCGAAUCUUAGAAGGGCAGAGAAGCGCCUCACGCAGCGGCCACCAGGCCACCAGUGCACUCCACACCCCCAAGCACCCGGGGCACACACACGUACGAGCCACGUGCUCGCCCAGGCUGGUGUGUGAGUGCCCAUGCCCACCUGCAAGGGGAUUCACACAGUGGAAGAGGGAGGCGUUGGCACUCACAGCCCAGCUGGCCAGGCUACUUUAGCCCUGGCGUCACAAGAAAGGCCUUCUAGAACCAGCAGAGAAUGUUUCAGGCAGCAUUCAGCCCAGCAAGGGAUUCUUUUUCUAGCUCAAGUCAUGAAAGUUGAUUUUAAAAAGGAGAAAAAAUAGAAAAAAAAAAAAAAA